AUAUUCUUUUUCAUUUAAUAGGAGGGAAAAGUGUAAACGUACUGAAAUUGGAAGAGUGCAGAGCCUAUUUGAGAAAACAUAAGCUUCGGAUAACUGGUACCGAAAAAACAUCUAUCACGAGGAUUCUGGAGCACUGCAGAGGAGGUUUAGAAUCUUUCACAACCUGAGCUAGAGUGUACAACAAGUUAGAUAGGACAAUUCCUGGUUUCAGUAAAGUAAUGAAGAAAGUGCGAGCUGAUACAGCUGCAAAUGAUGCAAGGCGCAAGGAGAGGAGGGCUGCACAGAAAAAGGCUGAGGCUGCUCUCUUUGGCCGUAGAGUGUCACCUGAUCCGUAGAAAAGAACAUAAAAUUUGUUGUUCGUGCACAUCCAACCUAAAUCUGAAGUCCUCGAUGAGCUCUUCAAAUCCGCCAAGCUAUUUCACAAAGUUAUCUGAAUAUAUUGCGGUUAUCAUCAACCAUAUGCAUGUUUUACUGUUUACAUCAUGGGCUCAUCAAUGAGAAGCCUCAAGUGAUUCAAGAGUAAGCGUCAAGAAAGGCAAUUUCAAAUCAGCAAAUAAUUACCAAACUGGAGAGGGUCUUGGGAGUAAAAUUGAGAGGAAAUAAAUAAUUUGCCUUGUACAAAAUUUGUAACUUAUGGAACUUUGACAUAUGCAGCAAAUGGUUCUAUUUUGAUUUUGAGCACCUUGAACUGAUGAUAGUGUAUAUGAAGUGUGAAGCUGGUUCUGUGUCUUUUUACAUGAGAUGAGCUUGUUGCUUGUGUUGCA